UGAUGCAGCGACGCCGCGUGAGGGAUGACGGCCUUCGGGUUGUAAACCUCUUUCAGUAGGGAAGAAGCUCCUCGGAGUGACGGUACCUGCAGAAGAAGCGCCGGCUAACUACGUGCCAGCAGCCGCGGUAAUACGUAGGGCGCAAGCGUUGUCCGGAAUUAUUGGGCGUAAAGAGCUCGUAGGCGGUUUGUCGCGUCUGCUGUGAAAACGCAAGGCUUAACCUUGCGCCUGCAGUGGGUACGGGCAGACUAGAGUGCGGUAGGGGAGACUGGAAUUCCUGGUGUAGCGGUGGAAUGCGCAGAUAUCAGGAGGAACACCGAUGGCGAAGGCAGGUCUCUGGGCCGUUACUGACGCUGAGGAGCGAAAGCAUGGGGAGCGAACAGGAUUAGAUACCCUGGUAGUCCAUGCCGUAAACGUUGGGCACUAGGUGUGGGAUCCAUUCCACGGGUUCCGUGCCGCAGCUAACGCAUUAAGUGCCCCGCCUGGGGAGUACGGCCGCAAGGCUAAAACUCAAAGGAAUUGACGGGG
rnacentral:rRNA from 1 species